CACUUAUUAGAUAUUAAACCAAUCCCAGCAAUGGGUUUCUUGGUGAUUCAUAGUAACUGAACAAAUCACAUGGUCUUGUACUGGUGAUGUUUCAUUCAAAUUUCUGCCCUAUCAACUAGAUGGUAGUAUAUAGGACUACCAUGGUUGUAACGGGUAACGGAGGAUUAGGGUUUGAUUCCGGAGAAGGAGCAUGAGAAACGGCUACUAUUUCUAAGGAAAGCAGCAGGCGCGCAAAUUAUUCAAUGGAAACAAUUUUCCGAAAUAGUGACAAAAAAUAUCAAUGCUAGGUACUAUGUAUUUAGUAAUUGGAAUGAGUACAAUUUAAAUCCCUUAACAAGUAACAAUUAGAGGGCAAGUCUGGUGCCAGCAGCCGCGGUAAUUCCAGCUCUAAUAGCGUAUAUUAAUAUU
rnacentral:rRNA from 1 species